CUGGCUCAGAACGAACGCUGGCGGCAUGCCUAACACAUGCAAGUCGAACGAAGGCUUCGGCCUUAGUGGCGCACGGGUGCGUAACGCGUGGGAAUCUGCCCUUAGGUUCGGAAUAACAGCUGGAAACGGCUGCUAAUACCGGAUGAUAUCGCGAGAUCAAAGAUUUAUCGCCUGAGGAUGAGCCCGCGUUGGAUUAGGUAGUUGGUGGGGUAAAGGCCUACCAAGCCGACGAUCCAUAGCUGGUCUGAGAGGAUGAUCAGCCACACUUGGGACUGAGACACGGCCCAGACUCCUACGGGAG
rnacentral:rRNA from 1 species